GGUUCGGUAGCUUAGUUGGUAAAGCGCAUGUCUAGCAUACAAGAGUCCUGGGAUCGAAUCCCUGCAGAGCAA
rnacentral:tRNA from 1 species